rnacentral:rRNA from 1 species
UACGGGGGGGGCAAGCGUUGUUCGGAAUUACUGGGCGUAAAGGGCUCGUAGGCGGCCAACUAAGUCAGACGUGAAAUCCCUCGGCUUAACCGGGGAACUGCAUCUGAUACUGGAUGGCUUGAGUUCGGGAGAGGGAUGCGGAAUUCCAGGUGUAGCGGUGAAAUGCGUAGAUAUCAGGAAGAACACCCGUGGCGAAGGCGGUUCUCUGGGACGGUACUGACGCUGAGACGCGAAAGCGUGGGGAGCGAACAGG